CCUUCUCUAUAAACAAGUCAUCUAAACAUCCUUCCUUUUCCUUGGCUUUUUCUUCUCAUGAGAUUCUAACAACUGGCUAGGCCGCCAUGCAUGCUCUCCAUCCAUCAUUUUCAAAGACAUUUCUAAGCUUGUUUGUCUCUUUAUUUAAGUUAAGAAAGGACAGCUCCAUCAGCGGACCUUAACAGCUUGUUUGUUUCUUUAGGUGAUAGUUUCCAUGAAUCUCCCACAACCUGCAACUUACAAGAAGUGGAGAUGAAAGAGAGGUGCAGUACUCACUUGACUAAGCUUCCUGAAUGUGUUUCAUAGAUAUAGGGGUCCUACACUCCAUUUUCUACAAACAAAUCAUCUAAACAUCCUUCCUCUUCCUUGGCCUUUUCCUCUCAUGAGAUUCUUACAACUGG
rnacentral:lncRNA from 1 species